rnacentral:rRNA from 13 species
CAGUAGGUGACCUGCGGAAGGAUCAUUA